AUGGAAGUGCGUGGGGGUUUCAUUGGUGGAGCUGAGUUAGUCUCCUUUUGGAUUUCAGUGGGAUCAAACUCUGCGGUGUUGCAUUACGGACAUGCCAGCGCUCCAAAUGACAAGACCAUUUUGGAUGGAGACCUGUGCCUGUUUGACAUGGGCGGGGAGUAUUAUUGCUACGGCUCUGACAUCACCUGCACAUUUCCCGCUAACGGCCAGUUCACCGCUGACCAGCGUGCCAUCUACGAGGCGGUGCUGAGGUCAUCGCGCGCUGUGAUGCAAGCCGUGCGCCCUGGUAAGGUGGCCUGGCCUGACAUGCACGCCUGGCUGACAGAGUUCAUCUGGAGGAGCUGACAAAGAUUGGUAUCCUGCAGGCAGUGAGAACAUGAUGAAAGUUCACCUGGGCGCAGUGUUCAUGCCCCAUGGCCUGGCCACUUCUUGGGAUGUGAUGUUCACGAUGUGGGCGGAUACCCUGAGUCCGUCCAAAGGAUUCGAACACCAGCCGGGGCUCGGAGCCUGCGUACAGCCCGGGUCCUGCUAGAGGGGAUGGUGCUGACCAUAGAGCCUGGCAUCUACUUCAUCCAACACUUACUGGACCCGGCGCUGGCUGACCCCGCCCAGGCCUGCUUCAUCAACGCAGACAUCCUCGGCCGCUUCAGAGGCUUCGGCGGGGUGCGAAUUGAGGAUGACAUCGCAGUGACCACCAAUGGCAUGGAGCUGCUGACCUGUGUCCCGCGGAGCGUGGAGGAGGUGGAGGCGCUGAUGGCAGAGGGCGCUGGCUCAGCCAAAUCCUUUGAACCCUUGGACAGUCAGUAGUUCCCAGGCCGACAAGUGCCUGAGCACGUUACCUGACUGUGCUGUCACAAUGUCAUGUCCGUCCAUGAUUCAAAGCAUGGAAUUCAAAUCAAGCUUCACGCUUGUGUGUGUGUGUGAGGCUCACACGUGUUAAUCUAUCAAAUUGAUGAUAUUAACAUUAAUGAUAUAAAAUCCAAGAGAACGAAUCAAACAACACAAGGAUACUGAGCUCCAAGACCCUCACUGGUGAGAAAGGUGUGAAUUCACACUGAGAUUUGGGGGAGAGGCAGUACAUGGAGAGGGAUAGCCAGGCCUGCACGCCCAGUGCUAGCCCCCCCCGUCCCCCCCACACCCCGGGGGGCCAGGAAACACGAGGAUCAGCUAAAAGCAGCUUCCCAAUUUCAGCUCCUGGGCCCAACUACCUCAUCUGCCUCGCUUUCCCACCACAAGAAAUAUUUCCACAAAUUAUGUUGCAAGAAUCUAUUUUUAAAAUCACAUAAAUUCUCUUUUGUAUCUGCUUCAUCUAAUAAAACCUGACUAUCUGCAA